rnacentral:rRNA from 1 species
ACAUGCCAGAAGCAUAGCGUUAUUACAUUGGAUUCCAUUAUAACUCCACAUUAAACGCGUUCAGACUAAAGUAGUAUUGGGAUGGAUGACCAUUUUAAAAGUACUAGUGUUUUACAUGCC